rnacentral:lncRNA from 1 species
ACAAAUAGUAACAAGGGGAGAAAUUACUAAAGACCAGUCAAUAGAGGAAUUGAAUGAAGAAUCUGAAAAUUCAGAAGAUUCAGAAGAAGAAGACUUGCUAGAAGAAAACUUAGAAGAAGAUCUUCAAGAUCCAAUUCAGGACACACAAGGAUCACAAGCCAUUACAAUUCAAGGGAGAUCAACAAGAGAGAAGAAGAUUCCAAACAAGCUCAAGGACUGUAUCCUUUAUUAAUUAGUGGUUAAUUAGAAGUAAUUAGAAUAAUAAAUAACUGUAAACAAACAAAUGAGUUUAUAAUCAUUUGUUUUGUUAGUGUUUUUUUUUCUUCCAGUACUUUAAUAAGGGAAUUAACAAGUGAAAAUUAUAAUCACUUGUUUAGUUUUUAAUUUCAGUACAUUCUGUAAAUCCCUAUAUAUAGGGCACCAUUUGUAUUUUUUAAAGAUAUCAAUAUACGAGUAUACCUGUUCACCCAACUGAAUUGCAAUUCUGUUACAGAGAGUUAGGAUUGAAGAGAACCGAGUCCCAUUCAUUCAAUCCAAUCCAGUCAAGUGGCUGAAUGAUAUUGGAUUGUUAAGCUUGGAGUUGCCUCGAAGAUUCUCUUGUCCAAGGGCGUUCCAGAGUUGAAGAUUGGUUGUUGGCCAGAGCAUCCUUUUGUAUUGCCUGCAUUCCGUUUCUUGAAGAGCCACCUCUUCUCCAUUUGCCUUCGUCUCUCAAUCUUAGAUCGAUUUCCGGCCUGUAGAUCGGAGACACGAAACGGAGCUCAGGUCAUUCUAAUUCUUUUUAAGCUUCCAGUCCUUGAAUCUAAGAUCCUUCCCGAUCUUGAGAUCGGGACAUUUGAUCUUUUAAAGGUCAGUUUUUGCCCUUUUUGAUUUACCCAAUUAAUAAAAGUCUUAUUCUACUUAUUCUAUUGUGAAUUAGAAUUGGGUUAAGAAUAUUGCUGCUAGACUUAAGCAUUCCUUUUAAUCACAAGAUAGGGAUUUUAAGAAUCAGUCAUGAUCUUUCGUACUUUUAUCAUAGAUGUUUUUAAAAGACGACAACAAUUUUUUUUGUAACACUCCG